UGGGGAAUAUUGGACAAUGGGCGAAAGCCUGAUCCAGCCGUGCCGCGUGUGUGAAGAAGGCCUUUUGGUUGUAAAGCACUUUAAGUGGGGAGGAAAAGCUUAUGGUUAAUACCCAUAAGCCCUGACGUUACCCACAGAAUAAGCACCGGCUAACUCUGUGCCAGCAGCCGCGGUAAUACAGAGGGUGCAAGCGUUAAUCGGAAUUACUGGGCGUAAAGCGCGCGUAGGUGGUUAUUUAAGUCAGAUGUGAAAGCCCCGGGCUUAACCUGGGAACUGCAUCUGAUACUGGAUAACUAGAGUAGGUGAGAGGGGAGUAGAAUUCCAGGUGUAGCGGUGAAAUGCGUAGAGAUCUGGAGGAAUACCGAUGGCGAAGGCAGCUCCCUGGCAUCAUACUGACACUGAGGUGCGAAAGCGUGGGUAGCAAACAGGAUUAGAUACCCUGGUAGUCCACGCCGUAAACGAUGUCUACCAGUCGUUGGGUCUUUUAAAGACUUAGUGACGCAGUUAACGCAAUAAGUAGACCGCCUGGGGAGUACGGCCGCAAGGUUA
rnacentral:rRNA from 1 species